rnacentral:rRNA from 1 species
CCUACGGGGGGCAGCAGUGAGGAAUAUUGGUCAAUGGACGAGAGUCUGAACCAGCCAAGUAGCGUGAAGGAUGACUGCCCUAUGGGUUGUAAACUUCUUUUAUAUGGGAAUAAAAUGUUCCACGUGUGGGAUUUUGUAUGUACCAUAUGAAUAAGGAUCGGCUAACUCCGUGCCAGCAGCCGCGGUAAUACGGAGGAUCCGAGCGUUAUCCGGAUUUAUUGGGUUUAAAGGGAGCGUAGGUGGAUUGUUAAGUCAGUUGUGAAAGUUUGCGGCUCAACCGUAAAAUUGCAGUUGAAACUGGCAGUCUUGAGUACAAUAGAGGUGGGCGGAAUUCGUGGUGUAGCGGUGAAAUGCUUAGAUAUCACGAAGAACUCCGAUUGCGAAGGCAGUUCACUGGACUGCAACUGACACUGAGGCUCGAAAGUGUGGGUAUCAAACAGGAUUAGAUACCCUUGUAGU